rnacentral:rRNA from 1 species
UACGUAGGGGGCAAGCGUUGUCCGGAUUUAUUGGGCGUAAAGAGCGUGUAGGCGGCUUGACAGGUCUGCUGUGAAAACUCGAGGCUCAACCUCGAGAUGUCGGCGGAAACCGUCUGGCUAGAGUCCGGAAGAGGAGAAUGGAAUUCCCGGUGUAGCGGUGAAAUGCGCAGAUAUCGGGAAGAACACCCGUGGCGAAGGCGGUUCUCUGGGACGGUACUGACGCUGAGACGCGAAAGCGUGGGGAGCGAACAGG